AAUAUUGAUGGGCAAGAACUGGUGGUUCUUAUUUUUAAUACUAUUGUUAAGCAAUUGAUUUUGAGGUAGAUGGUGAUCAGUUCUGAAUUAGAUACACUUGGCGAUUGAAGUUUGCUAUUCUUUGAUGGAGAUUGGGAUGAGUUUAACUUCUCAACAAAAUCUUUCUUUUCGAUUUCUCAUUUCUUUCCCUUUCCCUCUUGAAAGAGGUUAAUAUUCAAAUCUUCUUCAUGAAUGUGUCACAUUGUUAAUUUGAUUUUGAUAGAAUAUGUGAGGUACAGAUGUAGAAAGGGGUAUCUGACUAUCAAGUAACAGAAUCUCUCCUUCUAUAUCUCUUGGCCAUUUUAAGAUUUUGAUUAUCCAAAAUCAAGGUUCUUGUAGAAUAAGCGUUUGAGAGACAAGCAGUUAUUGAUUACAAAAACGUUUGAAAAGGAUUCUUGUGGGAAAAGGCAAUUUCUAUCCGGGCUUGUCUGGAGUUAUGGCUGGUGCAUUUUUGGAUGGUGUAAUUUGUCAGGUUUGAGUUCUUUGAAGCAUAAACCUGGAACACCUAAACCGUUGCAUAAAAAAGGGGGAAAACAUUAGAGAUAUGGGCCAUCCCUUGAACAAUGUUUGCUUCAAGGAAAUAUGCACUAGACUUGUACAUGUUUCAUUAAUUAUCUGUUUUGUCUUCCUAACUUGUAUGUGUUUCUUUAAUUAUCUGUUUGUCUUCCUGUCAUACGUAUGCAUCUGUGUUUCUCUUUUGGAAAAUUGUUUGUGAUAUUUGUUCUUCUGUAAUUACAUGAUUAACAGCUAAAUGUAAAUCAAGCAACAAG
rnacentral:misc_RNA from 1 species